CUCUGUCCCCAGCAAGUCGCCUCCGCCUCCGCCUCCCCAGAGCCCCGACGGUCCCGAGCUCAGAUCUGCCUCCGCCGUCGCCUCCCCCGAGAGUCCCACCGGUCGCAGCUACUGAGUUCCCGAGCCCCUCCGCCUUCGGUUUAUCUUCACCGAGGGACUCUGUUCUACCGGUCGCAGCGUCUCUGCUCGGGAAUCCUUCGUCCAUUGAGACGAUUAGUUGAGCAUCACCCGUCGUCGCUUGAUAGGUCUUCUUCAUUGCGGCAAGAGUUGCCAGCUAAGGCGGACGAAGAACAAUCUCAUGCCGGACGUAAAACGUUGGCCCUUUCACUCCCGAGAAGGAGAAGCUUGUCAUUCAGCGUUGUGGAAUACCCGGUAACAGGUACCUAUCUUACACUCUCCGAGACUCAUGGCUUGUGCUUAGGCUGAUUAAACAGUUCAUUGGAUAAGGUUGGCCUAGUAGAGUAGAGAUAAUAACACUUCCGAUGGCAUUUGGAUCUUGAAUAGCUGAUACAAUGGGAAGUACCCUUCUGGAGUUAUAUCAGUUACUGUUGUUUUACGACUCUUGACCUUUCAAGUCUUGGAAGAUCGAUGGUGGUUUGACUCUCGGACAUUUUGUUGUGCCUAAGCAAGUUGAUGAUCGGUACUUGUUAUCUAACUAGAUGCAAAUUUUGAUUAAGAAAUGGCCCAGAAUAAUGACACCGUCCAGGAUGAGCAAAUAAUGUAGCUUCUGCUGCGAAUUCUUAAGCUUGCAAAGGGUGUGUUUGAAUUCCAGGUAGCAUCCUGAAGAUGCAUUCUUCGACUCUUGCUUGGCUGUUUAUUUGUAGCUAUACAAUGUCCCAUACUAAUUGUGGUUUUUGUAUGAAAGACGGGUGUCACUUAAGGAUUUGCAAUCGAAUCUUCAGAUAAUUAUGCAUUGUCAUAACCGACUAUUAAGAAGCAGUCGCCUCUGCCUUCGCCACAUGAGCCUAUCGGUGGCAUUGGACCUGGUUGUUGCCAAGACUAUUGCUUAAUUUGAUGUUUUAAAGCCGUCAGUCAGUUAAUUCACAUGUGUAAGGUUAUCCAAUAGCUGAGUCAUAGGUAAUCCUGAACUCAUACUAUACGAAAGAUAUUUGCUUUGUCAAUAAAUAGAUGUGAUGUUAAUUUUCUAGUAAAAGUACUAUGUUAAAUAUUUUUUGUUCCUUGCUUGCUCAUAAAAAUGUCCAUUUAGCACAUGUAACUCUGAUUUGAAUUUUUUUUUAGUUUACAAUAGCAAUGAUUUUUGCAAGUGAACUUGAAUAUAUCAUAAAUAUGUUGCCAUGUAAUAGGCAAAUGAUUUGAACUGACGAAGGCUAAGAUUAUAAAAAAAUGACCAAGGAAAAAUAACUCAAUGGAUUUUUGUGUGGAAUUGUGAGGGGUAUUUUGUCAACUCAUCUAAGAACUUGAAGUUAGAUGUGGAUGUCCUCCUCCUUUUAUCAAAUAUAAGGUUUGAAAAUGGCGCUUAUGAAGUUAUA